GGGGGCGCUUGGUUUCGACGAGGUGGUUGAAGCUUCAGUUGCGUGCCGAGGACCCCGGUUGGCCUCGUAAAUCACCCGGGAACAACAUCAAAUGCUGACACAGAGUUAGCACUCGCGGCUUAGAUUCGCGACGUCUCGCCACUGACGCCUGUUAGGUGGAGUGAGGCGCCGACAACAGGCUGGUCCAGAACCCGUGUGCUCGGGGGGAAGGAUAAGAAACCAACAGGGCACUGGCUGAUGCAAUGGCCCUUUUCGCCGGCAGUUGCAAGGGCGAGAACCUAAUGGCGAGAUACGCACGUAGACGCUGUAGUGACUCCAUCGCGGACGGGGGUUCGACUCCCCCCGCCUCCACCA
rnacentral:tmRNA from 1 species